UGCUUUUGCUUUUGUGUCACAGGAGGAGGCGAUUCCAGAGCUGGAGAUUGAUGUGGAUGAGCUGUUGGACAUGGAGGAUGAUGUAGACCGUGCCGCAAGAGUCAAGGAACUGCUGGUAGACUGUUAUAAACCUACUGAAGAGUUUGUAGCUGAAUUGCUGGACAGGAUCCGUGGCAUGCAGAAGCUCAGUACUCCUCAGAAGAAAUGAAGCUUCUCCCACCUCCACCCUUCUUCAAUCAAUCUCAUCCUUCCUUUUCAAAUUUUACGGGUGUGACUGUUCACCCCGAGCUGGUGCUCAUCUAGUCCCAUUGCCUCUUCUGCAUCCAUUGGGGAGGAGGUGGAGGCAAAAUUAUGGGAGAUUUAAUCAGAUCCUUCAGGGCUUAUUUUCUCAUUAUGUUGAUUUUAUUUGCAUUAUUUUAUUCUAUUUCACUUUUUUGUGAAGGGGGAAAGAUUUCAUUGUUUUUGAAUGUAUUUCAUGUUGGUAUACAUUACGGUGCAUACUAUUCUUUAGAUUCUAAUUUGGGAAUUUAGUUUUAGUUUGGUUUCAAAGCUCUCAAUGAACACAUGGACUAAAACCCUUUGUGAAACCGUGACAAUACUUGGUUUAAAAUUGUGGAUUUAUUUUUUUAUUUUAAUUACAUUUUUUAUUUUAUUUUAUUUACUUUUUUGAGUCUCCUAUUCCUUGAAUAAGUGUGCAGGAACAAUCAUGGAGAUAAAAAAGAAAAAAUUGUUUAAAGCUAUUUUAUUUGUGGUAUUAACGAAAGGGAGCUGUGUGUAGAAAAAAAAAAAAUAAUAAUAAUAAUUGUAAGACAGAGGAAAAUCAAAGAAUCAAAUCCCACACACACACUCACUGACUCACUCUCUGAAAUUCAUGGGCAUCACCACCCUCAAGCAACAGGAGAAAUUACCACACACACAACCGCAGCUGUGACUUUUGGGCCUCACACAUCCACAGAUGUGCACACGGUCUCUCCCAGAGACUGAUAGAGACAGACUGGAUCUAGACAAGACGCAGUGUGUCACGGUCACUGGCAAAUGUACAUUCAAAAUGAAUCCUCUCACAUGAAUCUCCUAAAUCAUCUUUCCCAGCAAGCCAUCUGCUCUUUUUGUCUCAGUCAAUGAAAUACUAUAAUAAGAGGGCUAAUAAUUUCACUCCGUGUUCUUGAAAUUCACCAAUCCAACAUUUCCAGUAGGUGUUUUAGAAGAGCCUUUCCCAUAACAUGCAAACACAUCACUAGCAUCUGCAGAUAUGAAUAAUUCAUUGAUGCUCCUCCUCAUCCUGUCUGAGUUCACUUAUGAAUUACAUGAAGUAAGGUAAAAUGACAACUGUCCUGGACUCGCAACAAAUGUUUUCUCUUUCUCUGCUCACUCUUUUUUUUCUUUGCCCCGCACACACACAUUUAAAUUUUAUGUCUUUAUUGCACAUACUGCUUUGCAUUUCAUUUAACAUGAGAGCCACUCUCCCUGCUUUCAGAUGUUGCCUUAGAUUACAUUUAUGUUAUGACAGACAAAUGGAUUUAAUGUUUGAGGAACAUGCAAGAAAAAAAAUCUGCAAAAGUGGAAAUCUCUUUUAGAAUUAAAUAAAAUAAUUUUAUACUUUCAAUGAUUUUCUCUCUCUCUAGGGAAGGAAGUUGACUAUGUACCAAGCAAUUUUUUUUUAGAUGCAUUAACUAUUAACAAAAUACAAUAAGUUUUUAUCAUUAUAUGGACCUUGUAGUGCUGUUGAUUUCUCUUUUCUGUGUCCAAUGAGACAUGAGAGGAUUGAAAGAAUCAAUUGGAUUUAAAAGAGGAACAAUAAUAUGAAUUUAGGAAAAAUGUAAGCAAUUGUGUGAGACUGUAUUCAGGCUCAUACCUUUUAGAGAAAAAACUAAAUAUCCUAUAGCAUUACUAAACUGUCUUGGUAUUUUGCCCAAUUUUGUUACACUUUUAUGCAACUUUAAUAAAAAAUAUGUUGUUAAA